GACGAACGCUGGCGGCGUGCCUAAUACAUGCAAGUCGAGCGAACGGCGAAGAAGCUUGCUUCUUCAAUGUUAGCGGCGGACGGGUGAGUAACACGUGGGCAAUCUGCCCGUAAGACUGGGAUAACUCCGGGAAACCGGGGCUAAUACCGGAUAACACUUUUCAUCUCCUGGUGGAAAGUUGAAAGAUGGUUUCGGCUAUCACUUACGGAUGAGCCGGCGGCGCAUUAGCUAGUUGGUGAGGUAACGGCUCACCAAGGCGACGAUGCGUAGCCGACCUGAGAGGGUGAUCGGCCACACUGGGACUGAGACACGGCACAGACUCCUACGGGAGGCAGCAGUAGGGGAUCUUCCGCAAUGGACGAAAGUCUGACGGAGCAACGCCGCGUGAGUGAAGAAGGUUUUCGGAUCGUAAAACUCUGUUGUUAGGGAAGAACACGUACGAGAGUAACUGCUCGUACCUUGACGGUACCUAACCAGAAAGCCACGGCUAACUACGUGCCAGCCGCCGCCGUAA
rnacentral:rRNA from 1 species